UACGUAGGGCGCAAGCGUUGUCCGGAAUUAUUGGGCGUAAAGAGCUCGUAGGCGGUCUGUCACGUCGGCUGUGAAAUCCCGAGGCUCAACCUCGGGUCUGCAGUCGAUACGGGCAAACUAGAGUAUUGCAGGGGAGACUGGAAUUCCUGGUGUAGCGGUGAAAUGCGCAGAUAUCAGGAGGAACACCGGUGGCGAAGGCGGGUCUCUGGGACGGUACUGACGCUGAGACGCGAAAGCGUGGGGAGCGAACAGG
rnacentral:rRNA from 1 species